rnacentral:rRNA from 1 species
UACGGAGGAUCCGAGCGUUGUCCGGAAUUAUUGGGCGUAAAGGGUGCGUAGGCGGUCUUUUAAGUGGGAUGUGAAGUACCUAGGCUUAACUUAGGAGUGGCAUUCCAAACUGGAAGACUAGAGUGCAGGAGAGGAAAGUGGAAUUCCCAGUGUAGCGGUGAAAUGCGUAGAGAUUGGGAGGAACACCAGUGGCGAAGGCGACUUUCUAGACUGUAACUGACGCUGAGGCACGAAAGCGUGGGGAGCAAAC